CAGUAGCCACGGUAAUACGUAGGGUGCGAGCGUUAAUCGGAAUUACUGGGCGUAAAGCGCGCGUAGGUGGUUUGUUAAGUUGGAUGUGAAAGCCCCUGGCUCAACCUGGGAACUGCAUCCAAAACUGGCAAGCUAGAGUACGGUAGAGGGUGGUGGAAUUUCCUGUGUAGCGGUGAAAUGCGUAGAUAUAGGAAGGAACACCAGUGGCGAAGGCGACCACCUGGACUGAUACUGACACUGAGGUGCGAAAGCGUGGGGAGCAAACAGGAUUAGAUACCCCCGUAGUCCCUGUCUCUUAUAC
rnacentral:rRNA from 1 species